rnacentral:lncRNA from 1 species
CUCUCCAUGAAUCCUACACACAAUCAUGAGAUUCCUACACAAUACACAUAUGGAUUUCUCCCUUCCUUUCUUAAAGUCUCUUAUAAUGCCCAACAAAUAUAUCGUACAACCAAAACAACUAUUCCAUAUCCAAGAAAGAAAUCUACAUUUGUGUAGGGAACAUGUGAUCAUGGCCAUUCACCUUAGGAAUAUAGAUUUGGGAAUCCAGC